UACGGGGGGAGCAAGCGUUGUUCGGAUUUACUGGGCGUAAAGGGCGCGUAGGCGGCCACCGCAAGUCAGUUGUGAAAUCUCCGGGCUUAACUCGGAAAGGUCAACUGAUACUGUGCGACUAGAGUGCAGAAGGGGCAACUGGAAUUCUCGGUGUAGCGGUGAAAUGCGUAGAUAUCGAGAGGAACACCUGCGGCGAAGGCGGGUUGCUGGGCUGACACUGACGCUGAUGCGCGAAAGCCAGGGGAGCGAACGGG
rnacentral:rRNA from 1 species